GCGCCCUUAGCUCAGCUGGAUAGAGCGCCAGACUACGAAUCUGGAGGUCACAUGUUCGAAUCAUGUAGGGCGCGCCA
rnacentral:tRNA from 1 species